AGUUGAUUUUAUUUUUGACAGAUCUCAUACAUCACGCCAUGACUAAGGUUCUCUUUUCUCACCUCGAAUCCGGGUUAAUAUAACGAAUACAAGAAGGAGAAAUAGACAAGGUAAUAUAUUAACCAGAGGACAAGAUAUUCACAAUACAUUCGUCAGUCUGCUGACCGGGAUUUUGUCCUACCUGAACUUUCAGGAGUGUUUCAACACAAGUAAAACGGAAGAAAAGCGGGAUAAAGAGAAAAAAAAAUGUAUAAAAGUUUGUUUGGAUUUCAGAUCUUGUUUUGCAGCUCCAAUGGAUUUGUUGCAAAAAGAUGUACAUGUAAAACACAAGAUUACAUCGCCCGAACCACUCAUAGUUGGAAUAUGUGCACAAACAACAUUUGAUUACUAAAGCAAUUAGGCAAGGUGCCAUAGAAUUUAUGAAGCAAAGAAUUGUACAGCAUAGACGUAAACGACAAGCUCCGAUGAGGCAUUUCCGACACUGUGAGGUCGAUAUAAACAGACAGGACAUUCAUGGAAAAGUUAAAAGUAUGAGUGUGAUAGAGUGUCACACACGGUAAAAGAGGAAAGGAAAUGGUCACUUCUAAAUUCAUGUACCUAUACUUCAAUUAAUGGAGGCUUCGUUUACAAGUAAUUUCAUAAAAAACACAUGACAGCAAUAUCGAUGAAAUUGAAGUAAACAACCACUGAGAAAG